ACAGAGUUAGCCGGUGCUUCUUCUGUAGGUACCGUCAUUAUCUUCCCUACUGAAAGUGCUUUACAACCCGCAGGCCUUCUUCACACACGCGGCAUUGCUGGAUCAGGCUUUCGCCCAUUGUCCAAUAUUCCCC
rnacentral:rRNA from 1 species